GUAGGGAAUCUUCCACAAUGGACGAAAGUCUGAUGGAGCAACGCCGCGUGAGUGAAGAAGGUUCUCGGAUCGUAAAACUCUGUUGUGAGGGAAGAACAAGUACCGGAGUAACUGCCGGUACCUUGACGGUACCUCAUUAGAAAGCCACGGCUAACUACGUGCCAGCAGCCGCGGUAAUACGUAGGUGGCAAGCGUUGUCCGGAAUCAUUGGGCGUAAAGCGCGCGCAGGCGGUCCCUUAAGUCUGAUGUGAAAGCCCACGGCUCAACCGUGGAGGGUCAUUGGAAACUGGGGGACUUGAGUGCAGAAGAGGAAAGCGGAAUUCCAAGUGUAGCGGUGAAAUGCGUAGAGAUUUGGAGGAACACCAGUGGCGAAGGCGGCUUUCUGGUCUGUAACUGACGCUGAGGCGCGAAAGCGUGGGGAGCAAACAGGAUUAGAUACCCCUGUAGUCC
rnacentral:rRNA from 1 species